GUCUUAAACAAAGAUGGGGAACAGCUAACUUGAAUACAAGGUCAAAAUCAGCAACACAUUCUACAAUCCAGUGCUGAUAUCAGAUACAAGCUUCAAGGACAAU